AGUUGACUUCGAGAGCUUUGGCGUUUUUUUCGCGUGUGUUUUGCCACCAGAUGAAGAUUUGGAUUCUGCUCUGUGGCUCUUCAGAAUCCAUCACACAACAUGUGGCUACACUUGACUGACCUGUCAGGUUUUUUUCUCUGAACAGAACCGAACCGAUGGCUAGCUGCCUGUAAGAAUAUACAACUGUGACAUCGACAGCCAGACCGUGGCGACUCAGCUGAUGACUGAGGACUCACCGGUGAACCUGGAUGUUUCCAGUUCCAAAGAGAUGAAUGGCUCUGGGACCGCUCACCAAAGCUCCAGAAACCCGGUGUUUUAGGCCUGCUGCUCCCGCAGACAUCCGCCCUCUGGUCUGUGGACACGCAGAUGGAAGAGGGAGACCAGAGUAAAGGGCGACAAUCGCUUAUUAAGGAGAAGGUAUGGGAUUUAAAAAAUACAGCUUUUCCAGAACAACAAGAACAAGAAGACUUCCUGUCUGCAGAGAACUUAGCCAAUGGAAAGCAGAGACAGAACAUGUGAGAAAAAAGCCUAAUGAUUAAAAAACAAACUGUUUCUAAAAAA